rnacentral:ncRNA from 2 species
AGUUCCGAGGAGCGUUGCAAGGUCGUCCUGACCCCAGGCUCGGAGCCCUUCAUUGCAACCGCGCUCACCCGCA